CCCGCGCACAGCCCGGAGCGCCCCGGGCCGGAGCGAGCGCGAUCAAAGAGCGGCGGGAGCGGAACGGGCCGCGGGCAGCGCCCGCCGCAGAUUACAGCGGGCGAUUCAUUACGCGGGACGGCAAAUCGAGUUAGGAGGGAGCUGGGGCUGCGGGGACCCUCCAGCACCGCACGGACAGAGCUGCACACGGACACGGGGACAGACGGACAAGGACAGCCGGGAACAGGCGCUGCUGCAGCGGGACGUGCGGCUGCGGCACGGAGCCAUGCUUGGGGACACGCCGGGGGACACACGGAAGGACAUGGGAUGGCACCGCACGCCCAGCCUCUGCAUCCUCCUCCACAGCUGCCAUGUGAAGGCCUGUGGGAUCCCUGUCCACGUGGGAAAGGCCAGGGAAGGGCCAUUGUGGAUUAUCCGAGCGUGGAAUUGGUGCCGAGCGGGAGCGCGGGGCAGAUCCCGGUGUAUGGAUACACGGUGGUGCGGUCUGGGAGUGCUGGGAAAGAGUUUCCUGGCUGAAAAAGAAAACCAAAAAAACCUCACAAAAA